AACCCGACACAAACUCAGUUCAGAUAAGGGGAAACCGUGAAACCAACAUAAUUGCCAGAGCACUUGUGUCAGCACUUCUGACACAAAUUAUGUUAGGGUCCCCAGCACCUCUCCCAGGCUCGGUGCUUUAGGGCUCACGGGAUUCAGCCUGUGGUCAUACUCCCAGCUAAGAGUCAUUAUAGUGGCACAGCAAGGAUGCACAGCGGCUCUGUAAGGGAAAAAGAUGCCUCACACGGAGAGAGCCUGGAGAAAUCCAGGCGCAGCUUCCUAAGCUCUCCCCUCUCUCCUGCCAGGCAGGGUCUCACAGAGCUGGCCCCUUUCCCAGCAGCAAGCUGCAUUGACAUGUGUACGUGUUUGUGCCCAGGGAAGCCCUCUACAGACUCAAGUCCAAGUUUCCAUUAGGGCUGGUCACGUACUCAUUCUCUGCCAGUGACAACUCCCAAAGCUCCAGACUUGUGAAAGCAGAGGUGUCCCUGCACAUCACACUGUCUGUAUAGACAGCAGGCUGGCACAGCGGCCUUAUCUGUGCAGGAGCAUUCCAGAGCCAAGUUCCCAGAUGCCAGCCUAGGGCAGCGCUGUAAGCAAGCCGUUCUGAAGCUAGGUCUGCUUUGUUAACUCUGUCUUGUACAGUUGUGUUGCUUCAUUGUAGUUUUCUCAUAUGAUCUACUCUAACACUGUAUUCUUUAUUUCAGUUUGAGCCCCAGCUACAUAGAUCUGACUGAGUGUCCCUACAUGUGGCCCUACUGCUCCCAGCCCAUCUACUAUGGAGGAAUGCCGACAGUUGUUAAUGUCACCAUCCUCAACGGCAUGGGAGUCACAGGAAGAAUUGUAGAUAAGCCUGACUGGCAGCCCUAUUUGCCACAGAACGGAGACAACAUUGAAGUUGCCUUCUCCUACUCCUCGGUCUUAUGGCCUUGGUCGGGCUACCUGGCCAUCUCCAUUUCUGUGACCAAGAAAGCGGCUUCCUGGGAAGGCAUUGCUCAGGGCCAUGUCAUGAUCACUGUGGCUUCCCCAGCAGAGACAGAGUCAAAAAAUGGUGCAGAACAGACUUCAACAGUAAAGCUCCCCAUUAAGGUGAAGAUAAUUCCUACUCCCCCGCGAAGCAAGAGAGUUCUCUGGGAUCAGUACCACAACCUCCGCUAUCCACCUGGCUAUUUCCCCAGGGAUAAUUUAAGGAUGAAGAAUGACCCUUUAGACUGGAAUGGUGAUCACAUCCACACCAAUUUCAGGGAUAUGUACCAGCAUCUGAGAAGCAUGGGCUACUUUGUAGAGGUCCUCGGGGCCCCCUUCACGUGUUUUGAUGCCAGUCAGUAUGGCACUUUGCUGAUGGUGGACAGUGAGGAGGAGUACUUCCCCGAAGAGAUCGCCAAGCUCCGGAGGGACGUGGACAACGGCCUCUCGCUCGCCAUCUUCAGUGACUGGUACAACACUUCUGUUAUGAGAAAAGUGAAGUUUUAUGAUGAAAACACAAGGCAGUGGUGGAUGCCGGAUACCGGAGGAGCUAACAUCCCAGCUCUGAAUGAGCUGCUGUCUGUGUGGAACAUGGGGUUCAGCGAUGGCCUGUAUGAAGGGGAGUUCACCCUGGCCAACCAUGACAUGUAUUAUGCGUCAGGGUGCAGCAUCGCGAAGUUUCCAGAAGAUGGCGUCGUGAUAACACAGACUUUCAAGGACCAAGGAUUGGAGGUUUUAAAGCAGGAAACAGCAGUUGUUGAAAACGUCCCCAUUUUGGGACUUUAUCAGAUUCCAGCUGAGGGUGGAGGCCGGAUUGUACUGUAUGGGGACUCCAAUUGCUUGGAUGACAGUCACCGACAGAAGGACUGCUUUUGGCUUCUGGAUGCCCUCCUCCAGUACACGUCAUAUGGGGUGACACCGCCUAGCCUCAGUCACUCUGGGAACCGCCAGCGCCCUCCCAGUGGAGCAGGCUCAGUCACUCCAGAGAGGAUGGAAGGAAACCAUCUUCAUCGGUACUCCAAGGUUCUGGAGGCCCAUUUGGGAGACCCAAAACCUCGGCCUCUGCCAGCCUGUCCACACUUGUCUUGGGCCAAGCCACAGCCUUUAAACGAGACGGCGCCCAGUAACCUUUGGAAACAUCAGAAGCUACUCUCCAUCGACCUGGACAAGGUGGUGUUACCCAACUUUCGAUCGAAUCGCCCUCAAGUGAGGCCCUUGUCCCCUGGAGAGAGUGGCGCCUGGGACAUUCCUGGAGGGAUCAUGCCUGGCCGCUACAACCAGGAGGUGGGCCAGACCAUUCCUGUCUUUGCCUUCCUGGGAGCCAUGGUGGUCCUGGCCUUCUUUGUGGUACAAAUCAACAAGGCCAAGAGCAGGCCGAAGCGGAGGAAGCCCAGGGUGAAGCGCCCGCAGCUCAUGCAGCAGGUUCACCCGCCAAAGACCCCUUCGGUGUGACCGGCAGCCUGGCUGAGCGUGAGGGCCAGAGAGAGCCUUCAUGGACGGCGCUGGUGGGUGAGCCGAGCUGUGGUGGUGGCUGGUUUAAAAGGGAUCCAGUUUCCAGCUGCAGGUUUGUUAGAGUCUGUUCUACGUGGGCCUGCCCUCCUGUGAUGGGCAGAGGCUCCUGGUACAUCGAGAAGAAUCCUGUGGGUCCCGUCAGGAGGGACUUAGUGGCUCUGCCGCCAGUGAGACUUCCCGCCGGCAGCUGUGCGCACCAAAGACUCGGGAGAACUGGAAAGGCCGUCUGGGGUCUUCUGACUGCAGGGGAAGGAUGUACUUCCCAAACAAAUGAUACAACCCUGACCAAGCUAAAAUACGCUUGUUAAAGGCUAUUUUCUAUAUUUAUUGUUGGGAAAAGUCACUUUAAAGACUUGUGCUAUUUGGAAGCAAAGCUAUUUUUUUUGUCAGUGGAAUGCAGUUUUUUUACUAUUCCAUCAUGAGGAACAACAUAGAUUCCGUGAUCUUUUUAAUGACAGUACAGACUGAGAUUUGAAGGAAACAUGCACAAAUCUGUGAAACAUAGACCUUCGCUUUAUUUUUGUAAGUAUCACCUGCCACCAUGUUUUGUAAUUUGAGGUCUUGAUUUCACCAUUGUCGGUGAAGAAAAUUUUCAAUAAAUAUGUAUUACCCGUCUGAAGCUU
rnacentral:sRNA from 1 species